AGAGUUUGAUCCUGGCUCAGGGUGAACGCUGGUAACGCGGAUACCGGCAUGCAAGUCACGGGGGCCGCAAGGCAACCGGCGAACGGCUUAGUAACACGUGGGUACAUACCUUAGAGUGGGGCAUAGCUCGUCGAAAGACGGGGUAAUUCCCCAUAGCAUCGUAAGAUUAAACCCGUAAGGGGCUCUAAGAAUGGCCUGCGGCCUAUCAGAUAGUUGGCGAGGUAAUGGCUCACCAAGUCUAUGACGGGUAGGGGGCGUGAGAGCGCGACCCCCAAGAAUGGCACUGCGACACGGGCCAUACUCCUACGGGAGGCUGCAGUCGAGAAUCUUCCGCAAUGGACGAAAGUCUGACGGAGCGACGUUACGUGAAUGAAGACGCCCUUCGGGGUGUAAAGUUCUUUUCUCUGGGAGGAAAACCGCAAGGUUAGACAGUACCAGAGGAAUAAGGGGAUCCUAAUUCUGUGCCAGCAGGAGCGGUAAGACAGAAUCCCCAAGCGUUACCCGGAUUUAUUGGGCGUAAAGGGUCCGUAGGUGGUAUAGUAAGUUGAAAGUUAAAACUCAUCGGCUUAACCUUUGAGGUGCUAUCAAUACUGCUACACUAGAGGAUGUUAGGGGUGAACGGAACCGACGGAGUAGGGGUGAAAUCCGUUGAUAUCGUCGGGAACACCAAAAGCGAAGGCAGUUCACUAGGACAAUCCUGACACUGAGGGACGAAAGCGUGGGGAGCAAAAAGGAUUAGAUACCCUGGUAGUCC
rnacentral:rRNA from 1 species